rnacentral:lncRNA from 1 species
CGAACCGUGGACAUUCGUGAUACUAAUAUAGCCAUUCACUAUGAACAUAUUGUAUAAGCACGACGAUCUAACCAACUGAGCUACAAGAGCAUACAAUAUUUAUAAAUAUUGCGGUUCUUAUUGUAAUAGCCGGCAUAUUAUUAUUUGAUGCUUUAAACAUUCACAUGUUGUUCGUAAACAGUUGAACUGAACAACUUUCGGAAUUGUCGAAAGAAUCGAAACCACUCCUCCCAUUUCAACCAAACGGUAAUAGCAGUUUUCUUCGCUGUUGACCAUGUCGCCAUAUCCAAUCUCCUGUGGAGACCUUGCUUGACGACAUCCGAUUGCGUUAGCAUGUGGUACCUUUCGCCGUCAAUUGUGGCGAGCCAUCUGUUGAUUUUUUGGGUGUGGGGCCGGACAGUUCUUGGAAACUUCUGAUCGUCGGUCUCCCGCAGUCUGUCUGAGACCAACUAGAUCGGCCCGACCAGCCAAACCUAGAUCAUUUUGAACAUAUACGGUAUGUUCAGAGGGUCUUGAUUUCGAUUGCUAGCAAGGCUCCCUUCCGGUCCAGCAGAUCGGGCAUCGGCUGUACACUGUUUAUCAAUUCGGCUUCCAUUUGUACUGGACGCUCAGUGAUAUGCGGCGGCCCGCGUCCUUGGCAGAGCAAUCACCCCAGAUAUGACCAAUAAAAUCACGUAGGUGAACGUAAAUGCAUUCUACUUGAUCAAUUCUAAGGCAUGAAUCCCAUUUUCGGUCGUUCAACGUUGCCCCAGCAUAGCCAAUGGCUUGUUAGCCCUGCACAUCAAUCGUACCAAAGGUGAUGAGAAAGGGCAAUAGAUCAUGAGAGCGCUACCUAGGUGUCGACUAGCAAGCGGUUGAAACAUAUGUUUCUCGAGAUACAUCGUAAUCAUUUGUUGGUAUAGGAUACCUAGGCAGAUAAGCCAGAACAUCUUGAAAUUGAUUUUUUCUAUAUCAACAUGUCUCUGCUACUUCCUCUUGACUCUGGAAAUUCCGAAACAUUUCGCUGGCGAAUCGUUACUUCCAGAAAUUCAAUCUGAUAGCCUUGCCUACGCAGUCCGUUCGACACGUAUCUACCGUCGUCUUUCAUGUUCAUCACGUCUCGCCCGCUGUACUAGUCGAAUUUUACAACGACACCAUACCUGUGGAGGGAGCAGGCUAUCAUCUCUUACAGAGAUGCAAACGUCGGGUUGAUAGCAGAGAUGAUCCUCAACGGUGAGCAGUGGAGAGAGCAUGCGAAAAAAAAAGAACCUCGAAUGCUGUAUUAUGCGGAUGGACACUCAAGCUGUAACAACUGGCAUCAGACGUGAAGCUUUCACCAGACUACCUUCACCGAUCGUUUAAAGUUUCACUGCGCUUACCCCAGUACAAUAUACCACACUCAUCCAACAGAGGAAUGAGACAAAUUCAUCUCAUGCUUGAGGACGAAGCUGAAACUUUACAAGUAUAGUUACUGUGUCUGAAAACGGGGAUUGUCUGCCAUGUGAAGUGGACUUCAGCAACACAUCAAUGUAAGAAGUAGUGAGUUUAAAGUACUAUCUAUAGAUAUGGAGACAAGAUAAUACGGGUAGGCUAGUUGAGA